rnacentral:misc_RNA from 1 species
CACGCGCCGCGGUCCAUCGUUUUGCUCGAGCUUUAGGCGAAGAUUUUUUGAUCUCGUUAUUUAGUCGCGUAGUCACAGCGGACGUGUGAAUUUGUCACAACACCGAUUGCGUUAGACGCGAAAAAUCGUUAUAGCUCAUCGACAUUAGUCCCGGGCAGCCGCCUACACAGCAGCCGCGGAAUGCCCGACGGUCGUCUUUUAUUCACGGAAAGUCGUCGGUUAGCGGUGAAAACGUAUACAGAGCUUCAGAAAGCUAGUUCGAUCGAUCGGUUUCACGGCAACGUUAAUAUUACCGUCGCAUCCGCGACGAUGUAGUAUAGUUCCCGGUCAUCCGUCAGAUUUUCGGUUUACAACCACAUUACCAUUAUUAGAGUCUUACCCCGUUUUCGAGCAAAUAAAAGUAAUUUCGGUCAGUCAAAAAAUAUCGAUUUUCGUUUGACCGCUUUUAAAAAAAGAAAAAAAUAAGACCGCGCGUAAAUUCGACGUCGAAAAUAUCAUUACCAACGUACUGUCGUAUUAAAUUGUAGCUAAUCGAAUACGAAUCGGCGUCCACAACGGCGGACACCAGCAGCACCUAUCUCACCAUGAACGCGAUGCUGGCCGCGUGGACGUUACUCGGCGUGGCCGCGUCGUCGGACCCGUGGUCGGCCGCCGCGUCCACCGUCGACGAGACAGCCGACUCUUACACGACCGCAUACCUGAACGUGACCAGCUACGACGUGGCCACGGGCGUCGCGGUCCAGACGGAAAAAUCGGAGAUCGGCAAGUUCGGCGAGUAUCACGUGGGGGCCGCCUCCGGGAUGUUGCUGCACGUGAUCGGCACGGACGGCGACCGCAAUGGGUGCGCGCCCCCGGUGCAUGGCGUCCAAGAGCCGCCUGACUCCGGGCCUUGGAUAGCGCUGGUGCGCAGGGGCAAGUGCAGUUUUCAGACAAAAGUGGACAACGCGCGCCGGGCCGGCGCCUCGGCUGUGAUCGUCUAUAACGACCGCGAAGCCACCGACCUCGACAAAAUGAAGCUUUUGCCCUCUGAUCCGAGAAAUAUCAGUGCGGUUUUCACGUAUAAAUGGAAGGGCGAGGACAUGGCCCGAAUGCUGGAUGACAUGACCAGGAGGGUAAUGGUAAAAAUCACAAUAGCCAGUCAUUGCACCAGACCAUACGGUAACAUUAACAGAACUUCAGUAUUGUUUGUGAGCAUAUCGUUCAUAGUGCUUAUGGUAAUUUCUUUAGCAUGGCUUGUAUUCUACUACAUACAAAGAUUCCGAUAUAUACACGCUAAAGAUCAACUUUCGAGGCGAUUAUGUAACGCGGCCAAAAAAGCGUUGUCAAAGAUACCUACCAAGCACAUCAAAAUGGAUGACAAGGAAAUCGGCGGUGACGGUGACUGUUGUGCAGUAUGCAUUGAACCAUAUAGACCGUCCGAAGUAGUUCGGAUAUUACCAUGCCGACACGAAUUCCACAAAAGCUGUGUAGAUCCUUGGCUGUUAGAGCACCGAACUUGCCCGAUGUGCAAAAUGGACAUACUCAAGCAUUAUGGCUUUUUGUUCACGGGCAGUCAAGAGAGUUUCCUGCACGUGGAAGUCGAAGAGGUGCCCAACGAUUUCGACGUGUACCAGUACGCACGUGGUCGGAGUUUCAUGGACACGGCGCAAAACUCGAGAACGAUACCGGACGUGGCCGCGGUGGCAGUGGCGGCUGCGGCGGCGGCGGCGGUCGUGUGCGAAUCGCCCGACAGUAGGUCGUCGACGCCCGACGAACUGACGCCCGCGCUGGCCCAACGCAACGACAUCGGCGGCGGCGGCGGCAGUGGCGACGGCCGUACAGACGCCGCCACCAACUGUACAACGGUCGCCGCCGGCACCAACCGAUCGACGUCAUUCGAAGAGCAGCCUCCGGUCCACUCUGUUAGCAUACCUACAACAGCUAAAUAGUCUGACGACGGCCGACGCACUCACAAUCACAACUGUAUAGUGUAUAUUUUAUUGAAUAACUAUAUUUGUUAUUUUUAUAAUAUACAUCUAUUUCACAAGACCGUUUCCGGAUAUCGUGUAUUUGUGUGCGUGUGUGCGCGGUAUAUACCACAGGAAUCAAAACAAUAAUCGACUCUGAUUGGUGGCACAGCCGACUAGGCCCACUGCGGCAGACGCGUUCUUCAGAUGGUUUCUGAAACAUCAAAACAACGAUUCAGGACGGAUGUGAUACUAGCAAUUAAGAUGACUUAAACUUUGUAAUAGAAUAUAUCUUCAGUUCAAGUCUUAUUAUUAUAGAUAUUAGGAUUAGGUACAAAAAAAAUAUAAGAUUAUAUAAUUUAAUGAAAUUGACUUUUCAGUCUAAGUUAUUAAAACCGUAUGAAUAUACCUAGUCAGUAUUCCUAUAAUAUAAUAUAGCACUCUGAUAAUGACUGGAUUUAAAUGUGAACGGUACUUUUUGUAACUAUUUUAUAGAUAAAUAUGUAUAAUUAUGU